rnacentral:rRNA from 1 species
GACGAACGCUGGCGGCGUGCCUAAUACAUGCAAGUCGAACGCUUCCUACCGGUGCUUGCACCGGGAAAGAAGAGUGGCGGACGGGUGAGUAACACGUGGGUAACCUACCUACAAGCGGGGGAUAACAUUCGGAAACGGAUGCUAAUACCGCAUAGAUCUUUUUGUCUCCUGACAGAAAGAAGAAAGACGGUUUCGGCUGUCACUUGUAGAUGGACCCGCGGCGCAUUAGUUAGUUGGUGAGGUAAUGGCUCACCAAGACGAUGAUGCGUAGCCGACCUGAGAGGGGGAUCGGCCACACGGGGACUGAGACACGGCCCAGACUCCUACGGGAGGCAGCAGUAGGGAAUCUUCCGCAAUGGACGAAAGUCUGACGGAGCAACGCCGCGUGAGUGAAGAAGGUUUUCGGAUCGUAAAACUCUGUUGUUAGAGAAGAACAAGGAUGAGAGUAACUGCUCGUCCCUUGACGGUAUCUAACCAGAAAGCCAUGGCUAACUACGUGCCAGCCGCCGCAGUAA